rnacentral:rRNA from 1 species
GACGAACGCUGGCGGCGUGCCUAAUACAUGCAAGUAGGACGCAGUUGCGAACGGGUGAGUAACGCGUAGGUAACUACCUAUUAGAGGGGGAUAACUAUUGGAAACGAUAGCUAAUACCGCCUACUAGUAGAUGGACCUGCGUUGUAUUAGCUAGUAGGUAGGGUAAUGGCCUACCUAGGCAACGAUACAUAGCCGACCUGAGGAGGAGAACGGCCACAAUGGGAAGGAGACACGGCCCAGACUCCUAAGGGAGGCAGCAGUAGGGAAACUUCGGCAAUGGGGGGAACCCUGACCGAGCAACGCCGCGGUAGUGAAGAAGGUCUUCGGAGCGUAAAGCUCUGUUGUUAAGGAAGCGGUACCUAACCAGAAAGGGACGGCUAACUCCGUGCCAGCAGCCGCGGUAAUAC